rnacentral:rRNA from 1 species
GAUGAACGCUGGCGGCGUGCCUAAUACAUGCAAGUCGAGCGAAGCGGGGACGGGUGAGUAACACGUGGAUAACCUCCUAUAAGACUGGGAUAACUUAGGGAAACCGGAGCUAAAACGGAUACUUAUAGCAGAUUCCGCGCGGCAGUAGCUAGUUGGUAAGGUAACGGCUUACCAAGGCAACGAUGUAUAGCCGACCUGAGAGGGUGAUAGGCCACACUGGAACGAAGACACGGUCCAGACUCCUACGGGAGGCAGAAGUAGGGAAUCUUACGCAAUGGGCGAAAGCCUGACGGAGCAACGCCGCGUGAGGGAUGAAGGUCUUCGGGUCGUAAAACUCUGUUAUUAGGGAAGCGGUACCUAAUCAGAAAGCCACGGCUAACUACGUGCCAGCCGCCGCGGUAAUAC